GCAAGUCGAGGGGUAACAGGAGCGCUUGUCUCGCUGAGACCGGCGCACGGAUGCGUACCGCGUAUGCAACCUACCUCUUACAGGAUGAUAGCCCUCCGAAAUUGGGGUUAAUACUCCAUACUAUUGUUUUUUCGCAUGAUUAAGCAAUUAAAGUUCCGGCGGUAAGAGAUGGGCAUGCGUGACAUUAGCUAGUUGGUAAGGUAACGGCUCACCAAGGCGACGAUGUCUAGGGGUUCUAAGAGGAUGAUC
rnacentral:rRNA from 1 species